UGGACCCGGACCCGCGCUGAGCGGAAGGGAAAGCGCCCCCGGGGCUCGGAGCCGAGGCGUCCGCCCCGCGGCCGUGGUGAGGGAGCGGAGCCCGGCGGUGCGCCUGCCGCCCCGGCGAGCCCCGUGCCUCCGUUCGGCCCGGAGUCUCCCGGCUCUUAGAUGCUCCGCGCAAGAGGCCGAAUGCGAACCAUCAAAGGGGGGGGGGGGGGGGGGCGAUGGUGUGCUGGCACGGGCUUGUCCGGAGUCGCUGGAGCCCCUGGUUGCAUUUUCAGAAGUUUGCAAGCUGAUGGUCAGAUGUUCACGAUCUUCAAAAGUCAUUCUUAAAAACUGAAUUCUGUAAACUUACCGUUAAAUAGAUCACAUUAAAAAAAAAAGUUUUAAGGUUCAUUUAUUUCUGAGACAGCGCAAGCGGGAGGGGGGCAGAGAGAGAGGGAGACACGGAAUCCAAGGCAGGCUCCAGGCUCUGAGCUGUCAGCGCAGAGCCCGACGCGGGGCUCGAACCCACAAACUGAGAUCAUGACCUGAGCUGAAGGCAGGCGCUUAACCCACUGAGUCGCUCAGGCGCCCCGAAAUAGAUCGCAUUAAAAACAAAGGUAGCAAAUAAAAAUGUAUCCCUUACUAAUAAUUUUGUUACUUUUUACUAUUAUCCAUAUACUUGAGAUUUCUGUGUCUGUCACGUCGGGGCGAUGUGCUUGGUACAUUUACUCCCAACUCCACAUUCAACGACCUCAGCCCGGGAAGGUUAAGGCACAGGCGAGUCAGGGAACAAAGGAAGAAAGGGGGAGGUGGGGAGGGCUGUUGUAAACUAAAAGGCCCUUGGAGCAUUCUAACUAUGGAAUCUUCUCAUUGGCUAGGCUGUGACAGACCCUCCAAGGCCGGGCUGUGACAUGCUCUCAUUGGCUGGGCUGUUGCCAGGGGAGGAGAGAACCUUCGUGGUAGGGGAGUAAAUUAGCAUCCACCUGCGAGGUCCUCCGCGGUCCGCGUGCAAGGCCUUGAAUGCCAACAAUCGAGCCUCCGUGGUGAACGUCAGCCAGGAAAGGAUUUUGAAUUGGGGUGACAUAAUCCAAAUUUUGCUUUCAGAUGAAAAUCAGGCCCGUACGAAGGACAACUUGAGGACAGGAAUGAACAGAAACCAGGAGACCAGCCUGUUCACUCAGGACUUUGUUCAGCACCCACGGUGUCCGACCUGAAGAGGGAUGGGGUAGCAGAUGCGUGUGAGCCACAACGCAUGGCCCCAGGGAGUUCAAUCUAAUGGGGCGAGAGAUAGUAAACAGACAAUCACUGUGAGUGUGAUAAGUGCAUUGAAAAGGGCAGAUCCAAGGGCCAAAGGGUGAGUCAUUCUUUCUGGAGGGGGCGAGGCAGCUGUAACCCAGCCAGGACUAGUGGGGCUCGUAGGCAGAGGGAAGUUGUCAAAAGAAGGAAGAGGGUGGGGCUCCCGGGCUGACAAACCGCCCAGGCAAAGGCCCGCGUUGGUAGAGGGCCCGGGAGACCGGGCUAGAACAGAAAGCUAAGGAGGCGGCCGAGGGAGGUCGCUCGGAAGGCUGAACAGGAACGGUCAGCGGUGGGGUCAGGGCGUGUUCUGUAUGAUUCUCCGGUCACGAGCUCCGCGUCCGCGUGACGCUCAGCUUUUCAUCUGUAUCUCCACCUUCCUUCCGGGAUGCAGCCAGAAAGGAAGACUGAUUCCACUGUAUGGCUGACGGCUCCUGACUCCACACCUGGUCCCCGCUGCUCUCAUGCCCGAAACUCUCUUCAAACACACAUAGGCUCUCUUUCUCUCUCUCUCUUACCCAGGGUUAUUAUCUAGCUGAAUGUAUGACUCAGAAUCGUUCCCCCGAGAUUCUUCUUUGUAAGCAAACUAUAGGACAAAUUCAAAAAAAAUAAAACUGCCUUUGAAUAGCUUUUA